GACUCUCGGCAACGGAUAUCUCGGCUCUCGCAUCGAUGAAGAACGUAGCGAAAUGUGAUACCUGGUGUGAAUUGCAGAAUCCCGCGAACCAUCGAGUCUUUGAACGCAAGUUGCGCCCUAGGCCACUCGGCCGAGGGCACGCCUGCCUGGGCGUCA
rnacentral:rRNA from 2 species